AACUGACAUAAUUCCUCUUGUGGGUGGGGCUUUAUAAAUUGAUUGUUCUCCAUUUUGAUUCUCUCUCCUCCUUCUCCUUCUCCAAAUAAAGUUCCUGGUAUGGCAUGCAGAAGCAGAGUGGCAAAUAAUCACAUAUAAACUUUGAUGGGGAGAUGAAACCAGUUACACUUCAAAUGAGUUCUCAAGCUCUGCUGGACUAACAGUGGCAUUCAGGGCAUCCUGUGUGCAGCGGAAGCAGUUCAGAGACAGGGGGAACCUACAGAGGAGAAUGCACACCAUGGAUUUGUGCUCUGUAGUGCUCCUUCGAACCUGGCACACACAGCUUUGAAGAGAAAGAGUCCGUCAGAAGGCAAGAUAUUCUGAUCCCAUCUGACCCGGCUUGGAAUCGUAUGAAAUUCUGACAGCGUUUGAAUGACGCAAAGCUAAUAUUUGCACAAGUACUGCCUCUCUCAUUCAAAGACUUCUGCAGCCUUGUUGGCCAAAUUCAGCUCUUGGUUAUGCUAGUGGAAAAUCUAGAAUGUGGCCCUAAAUCUAGUUAAUCUCCAUCAAAACAAAAGUAGUUAAAAUAUUUACUCUUUCUAAUGAAACAUGCAAGGUAGUAACUUUUAUAGUCAAGAAAUAUUCAGUGUUCACCUGGCUAAAUAUAUGGUGAAAGAAUUUAUAGGCCUGGCAUAAGGAAGUAAAAUGUGUACUCUAAGGACUCUGGUUAAUCUUUAAUUUCAGGCCACUGUUGUUAUACCUGCAGUGUCAGACAAAAACAGGGCAUAAGCCCUGUUUUAAGGUAGUAUUCUUGCCUUAUUUACAGGGCAACACUGCACAUUCUGAGGGACAGCUGAAAAGACGGACUGGAUGUGCGGCGUGGCCCACAAACUAAGAUGUUUUAGACUUUCAGCUCUGACUAAGCAAGCAGAGGAUGGGCCUAUCAGUAUGCGGCUCCAAUCCGCUAGGUUGAUCAGAGAGCAGGGUAUCAUGUGACAUAAUAAAGAAUUACGGGAAGAGUUUUUUCUUUACACGUGGAAUCCCCACCUGCUUGGUGUGGCACUCUGUCCCCAUCUUCUAGUGGCUAGACCAUCUAGAGAUUGAUGAGCCUAUUACGGCCUUAGGUAAGAAACAUCUUUUUUUUACCUCGGGCCUUAGAGGGUCAUGACUUAAGCUCAAGAGGUCCCAGGUGUGAUCCCCAUGGCCGAUGAUGUACACAGGGGGUAUCAGUGUUAGACACUGAUCAAAGAACUUUAUUAGAUUAAGGAAAAUGGCGUUAAUCUAGAGCUGGUUGAAAAACGAAAAUUUUCAUGAAAAAUGUUAGUUUCCCACAGUUCGAACCAGACCCAUUGUUUGUUUUUCCACAAAGUUUAACCAAUUUCUUACAUUGAAAAUGGUCUUGAAAUAAGUCCAGAAAAAUGUUCAUUUUCUGAAAACCAUAAACCAAAAAUGUCCAUGCUCAUUUCAACAAAGUUUGGCACUA